GAUGAGCGCUGGCGGCGUGCCUAAUACAUGCAAGUCGAGCGAACAGACGAUGAGCUUGCUCCUCUGACGUUAGCGGCGGACGGGUGAGUAACACGUGGAUCACCUACCUAUAAGACUGGGAUAACUUCGGGAAACCGGAUCUAAUACCGGAUAAUAUAUUGAACCGCAUGGUUCAAUAGUGCAUGACGGUUUUGCUGUCACUUAUAGCUGGAUCCGCGCUGCAUUAGCUAGUUGGUAAGGUAACGGCUUACCAAGGCAACGAUGCGUAGCCGACCUGAGAGGGUGAUCGGCCACACUGGAACUGAGACACGGUCCAGACUCCUACGGGAGGCAGCAGUAGGGAAUCUUCCGCAAAGGGCGAAAGCCUGACGGAGCGACGCCGCGUGAGUGAUGAAGGUCUUCGGAUCGUAAAACUCUGUUAUUAGGGAAGAACAAAUGUGGAAGUAAAUAUGCACGUCUUGACGGUACCUAAUCAGAAAGCAACGGCUAACUACGUG
rnacentral:rRNA from 1 species